rnacentral:tRNA from 1 species
AAUGCGAUAGUUUAAUUGGUUAAAAUAUUGAAUUCAUAAUUCAAUGUUGCGGGUUCAAUCCCCGCUCGCGUUA